GAGGCGCGGUGUGUGUCCAUACCAGCGCUUCCGGAGACCCGCCCUCGCCAACAUGGCGGCACCCAGUUGGGGCACGUCAGAUUGCUUCAAGUUUUGGCUGGGGUUGGGGUCUGGGCUUUAGGCAGCAACUGGGACCAGCGCUCGGGUCCCGAGAGGGACGUGGGAAAUUAGGGACGGUGGUGUGGCGCUGCCUGACUAAGGCGAGCGAAGAGCGGCCCGGGCCUGUCCGGGGUCGAGGCGCGCUCCUGAAUCGGGUCGGUGAUCGCGGGCCGCGGGGACUUGCGCCCGGUUGUGGGCCUGCGUCCCGUGCAGGGCUGGAGGGCAGGAACGCCCGAACCUCGGUCGUGGAUUGAGGGAGUCGGGAAUCCAGACUUUGACCUCGAGGCCAGACCCUCGAGUUCCACUUCUUGUACUUUUCUUCUGAGGAAUGAGUUUUAAAGGAUAAUUGUCCUCCGGGUUUCCUGUCUCUUGGAAACGGCUAGGUGCUUUGUAUUUCUCUUCUCCAAGGACCCUCCGCCACACUCGAUGUAGAGUUAGGCGCAAGUCACUUGGGUCCCCGGGGCUGACAUUGCUGUCGCCAAUGUGCACGGGAGACCUUCAGACUGCAUCGUUUCAAUGGCAGUCUUCCUUACCCCGAGACCUCCUCCCUGCUCUCUAGUUUGAGGACAGUAUACUAAACUGCUAUAAAGACGAUUAAUUUGAUGCAUUUUAUCAUUAAGAUAUACUCGGGUACAAAGUCCUGAGGCGAGCGAGAAGCAGAGAUUUUAGUAAAUGAAUGAUGGUCCCAAGGCUUCUGCCAAUUCUCAGAACCUAGGCGUUGCCACCGCUGAAGGUGGAUUAGGUUUGGUGAUGCGUUUUCUUUCUUUCAAUGAUGAUGCAAAUAUGCCUUUUUAAAAACAGCCUUCAAUUUUUGUGGGCCAAACUCUGCAUAUUAAGUGCUCUGUUUUUAUUAUGUCAUUUGUUUAAAUGACCCCUACAGGACAUAUGGUAUCCCAUUUUACCUAUGAGAAAACAGGCUAGAUAACUUGCCAAGGGUCACACAAGUUAGUUAGGAUACUGACAGGGAUGAAAAAAAGUUCAGAUUUUGCUGUUUCCAAAACACAAAUUACAUAUUUUCAAAAGAACGGUAACAAAAUGGACAACUGUAAGUGUAAGGUAGGGAGAUUUGGGGAAAGCUUGGGUUUUUUUUUUUUUUUAAAGCAUUUAUAUAACAUCAUUUCUUUCUAAAGGAUAGUAUUUAGUUUCACAAUGUUUGGGGACCUAUUUGAAGAGGAUUAUUCCAGUGUGUCAAAUAAUCAGUAUGGAAAAGGGAAGAAAUUAAAGAAUAAAGCUUUGGAGCCACCUGCUCCCAGAGAAUUCACCAAUUUAAGUGGAAUCAGAAAUCAGGGUGGAACCUGUUAUCUCAAUUCCCUUCUUCAGACUCUUCAUUUCACACCUGAAUUCAGAGAAGCUUUAUUUUCUCUUGGCCCAGAAGAACUUGGUUUUUUAGAGGAUAAGGAUAAACCAGAUGCAAAGGUUCGAAUCAUACCUUUGCAGUUGCAGCGCUUGUUUGCUCAGCUUUUGCUGUUAGACCAGGAAGCUGCAUCCACAGUGGAGCUCACCAACAGCUUCGGGUGGACUAGCGAUGAGGAAAUGAGACAACAUGAUGUGCAGGAACUGAAUCGAAUUCUCUUCAGUGCUUUGGAAACUUCUUUGGUUGGGACCUCUGGCCAUGACCUCAUCAAUCGUCUGUAUCAUGGAACCAUUGUUAACCAGGUUGUUUGUAACGAAUGUAAGAACAUCAGUGAGAAGCAGGAAGACUUCUUAGAUCUAACAGUAGCAGUCAAAAACGUAUCUGGUUUGGAAGAUGCACUCUGGAACAUGUAUGUAGAAGAGGAAGUUUUUGACUAUGACAACUUGUACCAUUGUGGAACUUGUGACCGGCUGGUUAAAGCAGCAAAGUCGGCCAAAUUGCGCAAGUUGCCUCCUUUUCUUACUGUCUCAUUACUAAGAUUUAAUUUUGAUUUUGUGAAGUGUGAACGCUACAAGGAAACUAGCAGUUACACGUUUCCUCUCCGGAUCAAUCUCAAGCCUUUUUGUGAGCAGAGUGAAUUAGAUGAUUUAGAAUAUAUAUAUGACCUCUUCUCAGUCAUUAUACACAAAGGUGGCUGCUACGGAGGACAUUAUCAUGUAUAUAUUAAAGAUGUUGAUCAUCUGGGAAACUGGCAAUUUAAACAGGAAGAAAGAAAGCCAGAUGUGAAUUUGAAAACUCUUCAAAAUGAAGAGGAGAUUGAUGAUCCAUUGGUGAUACUACAAGCAGUAAUAUUACAGGAGGAGAAUAAUCUAAUAUCUGUUGAUCAACUGGGCCAGAAACUGUUGAAAAAAAUGGGAAUAUCUUGGAACAAGAAGUACAGAAAAUAUCAUGGGCCACUGAGAAAGUUCUUACAGCUGCAUUCUCAGAUGUUCCUUCUAAGUUCAGAUGGAAGCACAGUUAGUCUACUGAAGAAAGAUCCUGUCCAGUCUAAGUCUGACUUCCAAAGUACUGAUCAACAGAGUUUCCACUCGCUGGCUUUAGAAGCCCCAGGAUUAAGUGAUAGCACUGCCUGUUCCCACUGGUUUGAUAUAAAUGACUCUAAAGUUCAACCAAUCCAGGAGAAAGAUAUUGAACAGCAAUUUCAGGGCAAAGAAAGCGCCUACAUGUUGUUUUAUCGGAAAUCCCAGUUGCAGAGACCCCCUGAAGCUCUAGCUAACCCAAGAUACAGGGUCCCCUGUCACCUGCUGAAAGAAAUGGAUGCAGCCAACAUUGAACUGAAAGUGAAAAGGGCAGAAUGUGAUUCUGCAAACAAUGAUUUUGAAUUGCAUCUUCACCUGGGCCCUCAUUAUCGGUUCUUCAAUGGGGCUCUGCACCCAGUAACCUCUCAGGCAGAAAGUGUGUGGGAUUUGACCUUUGACAAAAGAAAAACUUUAGGAGAUCUCCGACAAUCAAUAUUUCAGCUACUAGAAUUUUGGGAAGGAGACAUGGUUCUUAGUGUAGCAAAGCAUGUACCAGCAGGACUUCACAUUUAUCAGACACUCGAUGGAGAUGAACUGUCGCUGUGUGAAAUUGACAUUGCUGAUGGGGAAGACAUCUUUGUAUGGAAUGGAAUGGAGGUUGGAGGAGUCCAGAUUGAGACUGGGAUUGACUGUGAGCCUCUGCUGUUAAACAUUCUUCAUCUGGAGUCAAGUGGUGAAGGCAAGAAGCGUGGGCGACUGAUAGAAUCGCCACAUGUCUUUCCUGCUAAUGCGGAAGUGGGUACUGUGUUCACAGCUGCGGCCAUCCCAGCAGGCAUCAUCCUUGUGAACAGCGCCGGGUCUGCAGAUGAAGAGAGCUGGACUGCUGUGCCCGAGGAAGACAUGAAGAAGACGUUCAGAGAGCAGGGGCUCAGAAACGGAAGCUCCAUUCUAGUUCAGCCUCCUAAUAGUGAGGAUAGGAGUGUGUUGCCCAAAGAAGGGAAGUGGAUGAAUGGUAUGAAUGAGAUCGACUGGAUCCAGGUUAAAAAUUUAUGCCAGCUAGAAUCUGAAGAAAAGCAAGUUAAAAUAUCAGCAACUGUUCACACAGUGGUGUUUGAUAUUCGAAUUAAAGCCAUAAAGGAAUUAAAAUUAAUGAAGGAACUAGCUGAGAACAGCUGUUUGAGACCUAUUGAUAGAAACGGGAAGCUCCUUUGUCCAGUGCCAGAUGGUUCCACUUUGAAGGAAGCAGAAGUGAAGAUGGGGAGUUCUUUGGGACUGUGUCUUGGAAAAGCACCAACUUCCUCUCAGCUGUUCCUGUUUUUUGCUUGGGGGACUAACAUUCAACCUGGGACAGAGAUGGAGGUCAUAGUAGAAGAAACAUUGUCUGUGAAAGAGUGUUUAAAGAUAAUGCUUGAGAAAUCUUGUCUGCCAGGAGAUGCGUGGCAUUUAAGAAAAAUGGACUGGUGCUAUGAAGCUGGGGAGCCAUUAUGUGGAGAAGAUGCAACAUUGCAAGAGCUUAGGAUAUGUUCUGGAGACACAUUGCUUUUAAUUGAAGGAAAACUUCCUCUUCCGGGUUUCCUGAAGGUGCCCAUCUGGUGGUACCGGCCUCGUGGUCACUCAGGACACUGGGAGAGUCAAGACCAGCCUUGUACCUCUUCUCAAGGCAAUGGCUGGAGAGCUGCUAGCACCCAAGGUGCCCCUGGCCAUGUGCCUGCGGAAGUUUCUCUCGUCUACUUGGGAGACCUGGAUAUCUCAGAAGAUGCUGCUUUGGUGGACCUGAAGUCUCAGGCCAGAGCCUUAACCCCUUCCUCAGAGCUUGCUGUCCCUGCCCCAGCCCUCCUCAGAGCCUGGACGGUGGAGAGCAGGCGCCCUGGCAGGCUCUUACGCACUGACCGGCAGCGGCUCAAGGAAUAUAAACUAGGACGGAGACCCGAGAUCUGCCUGGAGCCCCUUCAGGAGGAGGAGCAGCUGGGCCCCCAGGACGUACUGCUGAGGACGCAGAUGCGCAUCCCUGAGGAGAGGGCCUACGCCCCUGCUGUGGACUUGGUGUGGGACACCUCCCGAGGCUGGACCACCGGCUCCCUGAGGCAGAGAGUGGCCGAUUUCUAUUCUCUUCCUGUGGAGAAAAUUGAAAUUGCCAAAUACUUCCCUGAAAAAUUUGAGUGGCUUCCUAUAUCUAGCUGGAACCAGCAAAUUACCAAGAGGAAAAAGAAGAAAAAGCAAGAUACUUUGCAAGGGGCACCCUAUUACUUGAAAGAUGGAGACACUAUUGGUGUUAAGAACCUUCUGGUCGAUGACAGUGACGACUUCAGCACAGCCAGAGACGAUGCUGAGAAAGAGAAGCAGGAGCUGCUACCUCGGGGGAAGAGGGACAGGUAACUGGGGCCUCGCACUCACCACCGCCUCCCCAGGCCCCUGGCUUCUUACUCCUGUUUGGAAAGUCUGCCAAGAAGUCCUUUGUGCACAGAACAGUGAUGUCUCCAGUGCAGGGACACCUGCCCGGCCCCGAGGACCAGAAGCUUCUCUGUCUAUUCACGUUGGGAGCUUCAGAUAGCGCUUGCAACAGGAUGCGUCCCAGCACAGUGCCCAGGCUCUGCACAAGGCCAGCUAAGCAUCAAUGCCUUAGAAGCAGGAGAGUGGUUUGUGGGCGACGAGUUGGCUGCAUCCUCGGAUCUCAGAUCCUCGUCUUCACCUGCCAACACAGGGACAGCUUUUCUCAGGCUGGGCAAACGUACUCCAUAGCUCAGCUCCGCAACAUACCUUGGCCCAUGGGAGUCAGCACAGACCCAGGUACUGUGCAGGAGCCAUGCAAGUGUUGACCUCACGCCACACCUGACCCCAGUGGCCUUUUUUCCAGGAAGCUUACCACUUGUGCAUUAACCACAGGUAUGGACAGGUGGCUUAUUGCUAACUCAAGAUAAACUUGUGUAAGAUCCACAUGUGUAUAGUUGCUUCCACUUUAACCUGCAUUGAAGUGGGUUCUGAUGGUCUGUCCCAUGCUGCAGGGGGCGCUGUGCUUAUUUAUAUCAGAAGGAAAGGGUAACCUGUGCCUCCCAGUCUCCGUUCCCCACACGGUUCUCUUAGGUGACACGUUUCUUGUUUGAGCUGUGGCUCUGACACACAAAGCACACCGCCACAGAGAAGGAAGCCUCAGGUGAGGCCCACCUUGGGGUCUGAGGUCAGAAUAGUCUUGCUGCUGCCCACAGUUCCUUGGCCUCUCCCGCUGGAAGGCUGGUAGGAGGCAGGACCAGGGGACAAGGCCCCACAGUUGUGGGUUCCCAGAUGUCUUGGGCAGGCUCAGUUGACCUUGAGUAGCCUCAGUUGAUUAAAACAGAUGGGGAAAAAAUGUAUAAAGUAAAAUUUUUCCCCUUAAUUCAACACAGGUAACUAUUCAAUUUAAAUUAAAUUUAAGGAAUUUAAAUAGCAUUUGAGAGCUAGCACUGCAUUAGAGUUGACCAAUCUAGGGUGCUAGACUGGCAACAUCUCCAGCACAAUCCUGAGUUGUCAUGUACAUGCUCCCCCUGGUGGUCACCUGUAUUUCAGUUCCCCAUCAGCCCUCACUGCCUAACACUAACACAGCUGAGGGCCGAGAUGGGGAGGCACUGACAAUGCAGCUUAGCACUUCGGCUGCAGCCCUGGCUGAAGGCUGUCCUGCUGUGGCUGCUACCUUCUCAGCCCUGGAUACUCAGCAGGUAGCCCUGCUUCCCCCUUCCCAAUCCCCCCAACACUAGGUGUCUUCAGUCUCUGUAGAAGCACUUGGGCUCAGACCUACAAGCCAGGGGGUUGUGCAACAUGGAAGUCAAGGCCCAGUCCUCUAGACACGCCCGGAGGGGUGCGAUGAUGUGUGAACUAGGCCUCAGUCCUGUGGCUCCUGCCCAGGCCUGCUGUCAGCUGCUGUGUCAGUUACUGAGGCUAUUUUCCCAGCGGGCCUUCAUCCCAUCUUAAUAUUAAUGUAAUAGCUGAAACAUUCCGCUUUGAGGAGCCAGAGGCCUUCCCAAACCUCUGAAAUAUUCUGUGCUGGCCAGCAGGGGGCGCCCACCUGGGUGCUUGCUGGUUUUUUGUUUUUGUUUUCCAACUGGGCAUGGGGAGAAAGCUAAGAUUUUAAGGAAAAAAAAUAAACCAUUUUUAAAGUUGUA